UAAAGUAAAACUGCGGUUAUAGUUGCUAUUUUUUUUCAGACGAACAAUAAUAGAGCCCGAAAAAAGAUGAGUAAAUAACUUUUUC
rnacentral:ncRNA from 1 species